GCAGCAGGUCCUAUGUUCCCAUCUGUUUGGGGAUGGAGAAGAUUCCAGAAUUUUUUCGCCCUGGAGAGUUGCACUGGGGACAAAGUUUAGGUAAACUGCUUCUGACCACUACAUCAUCAUCGCUUCUCGGCCUUUUGGCUAAGAUCAAGUGCAGACCGCUACGUCAACUCAACAGAUGCCUGGAUGUUAAGUGCAGUCUUUGGGCUUGAAUUCGGACCCUCUGGCUUCCAGUGCCUGGCUGUGCAGCCUUGGUCAGGUUACCUACCCUCUCUGUGCUCAACGUCUGCACCUGGAAAAACAGGACACCGUCUUCUUUGGAUCUCUGGGAGAAUUAAUGAGAUACUGCGCACAAAGAACUUGACACAGGGACGCAUUCCAGGGGCGUGUGUUUGCGGUUCUCGACGCGCCCGGAUCCUGCCUGCCUCCCCGGGGCGCCCUGGCUGCCCGCUCCCACCUCCCUACCUCCCAUCCCCCACCCGCGCCCCACUCCGGCCUCGCCGUUCCACUCCCGCCCAACCCCACCCACAUGUGUUCUCCAUAG